CAGCCGCCGCGGUAAUACGUAGGGUGCAAGCGUUAAUCGGAAUUACUGGGCGUAAAGCGGACGCAGGCGGCUCGAUAAAUUAGAAGUGAAAGCCUUGGGCUUAACCUGAGAAUUGCUUUUAAGACUGUCGAGCUAGAAUCCAGAAGAGGGUAGUGGAAUUCCGAGUGUAGAGGUGAAAUUCGUAGAUAUUCGGAAGAACACCAGUGGCGAAUGCGACUACCUGGUCUGGCAUUGACGCUCAUGUGCGAAAGCGUGGGGAGCAAACAGGAUUAGAUACCCCCGUAGUCCCUGUCUCUUAUAC
rnacentral:rRNA from 1 species